GACGAGCCACACGAACGUUAUUCGGAAUUACUGGGCUUAAAGGGUGCGUAGGCUGCGCGGAAUGUUGGGUGUGAAAUCCCUCGGCUCAACCGAGGAACUGCGCCCAAAACUGCCGUGCUCGAGGAAGAUAGAGGUAAGCGGAACUUACGGUGGAGCGGUGAAAUGCGUUGAUAUCGUAAGGAACACCUGUGGCGAAAGCGGCUUACUGGGUCUUUUCUGACGCUGAUGCACGAAAGCUAGGGGAGCAAACGGG
rnacentral:rRNA from 1 species